GGCCAAGCUGAAGAAGGACCAGAAGAGAUGGAAUUCCUCAUACUUUAUUCCCCUGCUCCCUGUUGGAAUACUGCAAUUCCACAAAAGCAGACGUAGAGAUGCCAAUGGAGAAGCUGUUCCUUCUUGAGAAAAGGCCAUCCAAGGAUACAGUGAGAUGUCAACAGCCGGCUGCAAGCCAGGAAGAGAGAUCUCAUCAUAAACCAACUCUUCCGGCACCUUGACCUGGACUUCAGCCUCCA